GUGGAUUAGAUACCUGGGUAGUCCACGCCGUAAACGAUGGAUACUAGCUGUUGGGAGCAAUUUCAGUGGCUAAGCGAAAGUGAUAAGUAUCCCACCUGGGGAGUACGUUCGCAAGAAUGAAACUCAAAGGAAUUGACGGGGGCCCGCACAAGCGGUGGAGCAUGUGGUUUAAUUCGAUGAUACGCGAGGAACCUUACCAAGGCUUAAAUGUAGAUUGACCGGUUUGGAAACAGACUUUUCGCAAGACAAUUUACAAGGUGCUGCACGGCUGUCGUCAGCU
rnacentral:rRNA from 1 species